rnacentral:rRNA from 1 species
AUUAUCGAAUAAACUUGAACAGGCUGUUUUUUUGCUGGCCCUUGAAAGAGGGCAUGUGCACGCUUGUCCAUCUUUGUCAUUUCUCCAAACUGUGCACAUACUGUAGACCUGGGGGGAGCAUUAUGAAUGAAUUUCCAUUCGAGUUGGGGAUUGCUGUGCUUUACAAAAGAAAAAAGUCGGCUUUCCCUUGUAUUUUUUCAGGUCUAUGUUGUUUUUCACAACCUCUAUAACGUGUUUAGAAUGUUGAAUCAAGGUCUUUGUACCUAUAUAAAAGUUAAUACAACUUUCAGCAACGGAUCUCUUGGCUCUCGCAUCGAUGAAGAACGCAGCGAAAUGCGAUAAGUAAUGUGAAUUGCAGAAUUCAGUGAAUCAUCGAAUCUUUGAACGCAUCUUGCGCUCCUUGGUAUUCCGAGGAGCAUGCCUGUUUGAGUGUCAUUUGACCUUCUCAACCACAUCGUUCUUGUUUUGAAUGUGUGUGGCUUGGAUGUGGGGGGAAUAAUUUUAUUUUUUGCAGGCUUCAAAUCAAGAAGCCAGCUCCCCUGAAAUGAAUUAGUGGUGUCUGAGCUGCUAUUGGUGUGAUAAAUUAUCUAUGCCUUUGGUGAUGCUGGUCAGCACCGCUUAUAACGGACGGCGAUCAUUUGACAAAUUUGACCUCAAAUCAGGUAGGACUACCCGCUGAACCUUAA